rnacentral:rRNA from 1 species
GACGACCGCUGGCGGCGUGCCUAAUACAUGCAAGUCGAACGCAGUGGGGACGGGUGCGUAACACGUGGGUCACCUCCCAUCAGAGGGGAUAACACUUGGAAACAGGUGCUAAACCGAUACUGAUGGAUGGCCCCGCGGUCAAUUCGCUAGUUGGGGAGGUAACGGCUCACCAAGGACACGGUUCAUAGCCGACCGGAGAGGGUGAUCGGCAACAUGGUGACUGAAACACGGCCCAGACUCCUAAGGGAGGCAGCAGUAGGGAAUAUUCGGAAAGGGACGAAAGUCUGACCGAGCAACGCCGAGUGAGUGAAGAAGGUUUUCGGAGCGUAAAACUCUGUUGUUAGAGAAGCGGUAGCUAACCAGAAAGCCACGGCUAAGUACGUGCCAGCAGCCGCGGUAAGAC